rnacentral:rRNA from 1 species
GACGAACGCUGGCGGCGUGCCUAAUACAUGCAAGUAGAACGCUGAAGAGAGGAGCUUGCUCUUCUUGGAUGAGUUGCGAACGGGUGAGUAACGCGUAGGUAACCUGCCUUGUAGCGGGGGAUAACUAUUGGAAACGAUAGCUAAUACCGCAUAACAAUGGAUGACACAUGUCAUUUAUUUGAAAGGGGCAAUUGCUCCACUACAAGAUGGACCUGCGUUGUAUUAGCUAGUAGGUGAGGUAAUGGCCCACCUAGGCGACGAUACAUAGCCGACCUGAGAGGGUGAUCGGCCACACUGGGACUGAGACACGGCCCAGACUCCUACGGGAGGCAGCAGUAGGGAAUCUUCGGCAAUGGGGGCAACCCUGACCGAGCAACGCCGCGUGAGUGAAGAAGGUUUUCGGAUCGUAAAGCUCUGUUGUAAGUCAAGAACGGGUGUGAGAGUGGAAAGUUCACGCUGUGACGGUAGCUUACCAGAAAGGGACGGCUAACUACGUG